UAUUAAAAUUUUUAUCCAUUUCUUUUGUUAAAACUGACGUGGCUAUUGGAAUAAUCAGACAAUUACACGUGAUGUACUACAUAUACCUUAUGCUAGAGUACAAGAGCUCAUUUUUAACAGUAGAAAUAGAUAAAUUUUUAAUA
rfam:Gossypium arboreum cultivar AKA8401 contig_473_13, whole genome shotgun sequence.